CCUCACCCACUUAUAGCCUCCCCCACCAUCAACCUCCURCAUCAGAGUGGUAUAUUUGUCAUCAUCAACCCACACUGGCAUAUCCUAUCACCCCAAGUCCAUGCUUCACAUUACUGUUCACACUUGGUUAUAUACAUUUCUUGAGAGUUGUGAUUUUUUACACCAGCAAAUGUCCCCGGGGAAAGCACAUCCACAUGAUUUGAGGCAAAACUAGCAAUGCUAAUCUAUUUUCAAAUGAAUGUGUUCUUUGGAGAAGUGUGUUUGAGAUUGGGUACACAUAUAAAAGAAAGAAGUUGAGUCAUGGAGGGAGGARAGAAAGAGAGAGAAAAGAAAGGACCAUCCACUCACCCAGGCAACUCCCACCCCCAGUCUCUGAAGUCUUUGAAGAUGAAGCCUUCUGGGAAGUUGGCAGUCCUGAGGGCCCAGGGCAAUGCUGAAAUGCCCUUCCAAACAAGGACCCAAACAGCUGAAGGGCUCCAGUUACCCAAGAGUUCCUUCAGCUGUUUAAAAAUUAUUGCAAAUAAUUGCCUUCAUCCUAGUGGUAACCGUUAUCCUGAAGUUGAAUAUCACACAUCAACUUAG
rnacentral:lncRNA from 1 species